rnacentral:rRNA from 1 species
UAGGGAAUCUUCGGCAAUGGACGAAAGUCUGACCGAGCAACGCCGCGUGAGUGAAGAAGGUUUUCGGAUCGUAAAACUCUGUUGUUAGAGAAGAACAAGGACGUUAGUAACUGAACGUCCCCUGACGGUAUCUAACCAGAAAGCCACGGCUAACUACGUGCCAGCAGCCGCGGUAAUACGUAGGUGGCAAGCGUUGUCCGGAUUUAUUGGGCGUAAAGCGAGCGCAGGCGGUUUCUUAAGUCUGAUGUGAAAGCCCCCGGCUCAACCGGGGAAGGUCAUUGGAAACUGGGAGCCGUGAGUGCAGAAGAGGAGAGUGGAAUUCCAUGUGUAGCGGUGAAAUGCGUAGAUAUAUGGAGGAACACCAGUGGCGAAGGCGGCUCUCUGGUCUGUAACUGACGCUGAGGCUCGAAAGCGUGGGGAGCAAACAGG